rnacentral:rRNA from 1 species
UACGUAGGGUGCAAGCGUUGUCCGGAAUUAUUGGGCGUAAAGAGCUCGUAGGCGGUUUGUCGCGUCUGCUGUGAAAACGCGAGGCUCAACCUCGCGCCUGCAGGUGGGUACGGGCAGACUAGAGGUGCGGUAGGGGAGAUUGGAAUUCCUGGUGUAGCGGUGGAAUGCGCAGAUAGUCAGGAGGAACACCGAUGGCGAAGGCAGAUCUCUGGGCCGUUACU